rnacentral:rRNA from 1 species
AACGAACGCUGGCGGCAGGCUUAACACAUGCAAGUCGAACGCCCCGCAAGGGGAGUGGCAGACGGGUGAGUAACGCGUGGGAAUCUACCCAGUUCUACGGAACAACACAGGGAAACUUGUGCUAAUACCGUAUACGCCCUAAGGGGGAAAGAUUUAUCGGAAUUGGAUGAGCCCGCGUUGGAUUAGCUAGUUGGUGGGGUAAUGGCCUACCAAGGCGACGAUCCAUAGCUGGUCUGAGAGGAUGAUCAGCCACACUGGGACUGAGACACGGCCCAGACUCCUACGGGAGGCAGCGGUGGGGAAUAUUGGACAAUGGGCGCAAGCCUGAUCCAGCCAUGCCGCGUGAGUGAUGAAGGCCUUAGGGUUGUAAAGCUCUUUCAGUAGGGACGAUAAUGACGGUACCUACAGAAGAAGCCCCGGCUAACUUCGUGCCAGCAGCCGCCGCCG